rnacentral:sRNA from 1 species
AAGUCUCCAGAGCAGACGCUGGUGAGGGAAGAGCCUCCCGUCUUCAGUCUACAGGAAGAUGCUGGCUUGGUUUGAGGGUCCCCGGAAGCAGAUCCCAAGACAAGGAUCCGCCAGAGCAGCCGCCCUACCCGCACCACCAGGGCGGCCCACCCCACUGCCCCCCCUGGAACAACAGCCACGAGGGCAUGUGGGGCGAGCAGCGCGGUGACCCCGGCUGGAACGGCCAGCGCGACGCGCCCUGGAACAACCAGCCCGAACCCGCCUGGAACAGCCAGUUCGAGGGCCCCUGGAACAGCCAGCACGAGCAGCCACCCUGGGGCGGGGGCCAGCGCGAGCCGCCGUUCCGCAUGCAGCGGCCCCCACACUUCCGGGGGCCCUUCCCGCCCCACCAGCAGCACCCGCAGUUCAAUCAGCCUCCGCACCCCCACAACUUCAACCGCUUCCCCCCCCGCUUCAUGCAGGACGACUUCCCGCCACGGCACCCUUUCGAGCGGCCGCCCUAUCCCCACCGCUUCGACUACCCCCAGGGGGACUUCCCUGCCGAAAUGGGGCCCCCUCACCACCACCCUGGCCACCGCAUGCCUCAUCCUGGCAUCAACGAGCACCCGCCCUGGGCUGGACCCCAGCACCCUGACUUCGGCCCUCCCCCCCACGGCUUCAACGGGCAGCCCCCACACAUGCGGCGACAGGGCCCGCCCCACAUCAACCACGAUGACCCCAGCCUGGUCCCCAACGUGCCCUACUUCGAUCUCCCUGCUGGGCUGAUGGCACCCCUCGUGAAGCUGGAAGAUCACGAGUACAAGCCUUUGGACCCUAAAGACAUACGUCUCCCGCCCCCCAUGCCGCCCAGCGAGAGGCUGCUGGCUGCAGUGGAGGCCUUCUACAGCCCCCCGUCCCACGACAGGCCCAGGAACAGUGAAGGCUGGGAGCAGAACGGCCUCUAUGAGUUCUUCCGAGCAAAAAUGCGGGCCCGGCGGAGGAAAGGCCAGGAGAAGAGGAACAGCGGACCCUCGAGGUCUCGGAGCAGAUCCAAGAGUCGAGGGCGUUCUUCCUCCCGCUCCAACUCAAGAUCCUCCAAGUCUUCAGGCUCGUACUCAAGGUCAAGGUCGCGCUCCUGCUCCCGUUCCUACUCCCGCUCCAGAUCUAGAAGUCGGAGCAGGUCACGCUCCUCCAGAAGCCGCUCCCGGUCCCAGUCGCGGUCCCGGUCCAAGUCGUACUCCCCAGGAAGAAGACGCCGGUCACGGUCCAGGAGCCCCACCCCGCCUUCCUCUGCUGGUCUGGGUUCUAAUUCGGCGCCUCCCAUCCCUGACUCAAGGCUCGGAGAAGAGAACAAAGGCCAUCAGAUGCUGGUGAAGAUGGGCUGGAGUGGCUCUGGCGGCCUCGGUGCGAAGGAGCAAGGGAUCCAGGACCCCAUCAAGGGCGGGGACGUCCGGGAUAAGUGGGACCAGUAUAAAGGCGUGGGCGUGGCUCUGGACGACCCCUAUGAGAACUACCGCAGGAACAAGAGCUACUCCUUCAUCGCCCGCAUGAAGGCCAGGGACGAGUGUAAGUAGGCGCCCAUGCCGGGAGCCACGCCGGUGGCCAGCGGUGCCGGCUGUGGGACCUUCCUGGCUGACUGGCAGUGGAAGAUCGCAGUGACCGCUCAGUUCUCACACCGUCUCCACUUGUGGAGAGAAGGAAGACCAGCGCAUGCCCAGUGGGAACACCGUGCUCCAUGGCGUGGAGGGCACGGGUGCCACCCAC